CGGACGGGUGAGUAAUACAUAGGAAUCUGCCCAGUAGCGGGGGACAACUCGGAGAAAUCCGAGCUAAUACCGCAUACGCCCUACGGGGGAAAGCAGGGGAUCUUCGGACCUUGCACUAUUGGAUGAGCCUAAGUCAGAUUAGCUUGUUGGUGGGGUAACGGCCUACCAAGGCGACGAUCUGUAGCUGGUCUGAGAGGACGAUCAGCCACACUGGGACUGAGACACGGCCCAG
rnacentral:rRNA from 1 species